CAGUUGAUUAUGGAAACUGAGAAAUGCAGCGUCUCCAUGAAGAUGGCAUCCUCGGAGGAUGUGAACGAGGUGCUGGCACACAUUGGGACCUGCCUCAGGAAGAUAUUCCCUGGACUCUCGCCAGUGAGAAUUCUGAAAAAAGUAACUAUGGAGCCUUCAGAAAGACUGGCCAAUCUCCAGGCCCUGUGGGACAGUCAGACAGUGGCAGAACUUGGACCUUGUGGAGGCUUUUCACAGAUGUAUGCCUGUGUGUGUGAUUGGCUUGGGUUUUCCUACAG